rnacentral:rRNA from 1 species
CCUACGGGAGGCAGCAGUGAGGAAUAUUGGUCAAUGGACGAGAGUCUGAACCAGCCAAGUAGCGUGAAGGAUGACUGCCCUAUGGGUUGUAAACUUCUUUUAUAAAGGAAUAAAACGAGGCACGUGUGCCUUUUUGCAUGUACUUUAUGAAUAAGGAUCGGCUAACUCCGUGCCAGCAGCCGCGGUAAUACGGAGGAUCCGAGCGUUAUCCGGAUUUAUUGGGUUUAAAGGGAGCGUAGAUGGGUUGUUAAGUCAGUUGUGAAAGUUUGCGGCUCAACCGUAAAAUUGCAAUUGAUACUGGCAGUCUUGAGUACAGUUGAGGUAAGCGGAAUGCGUGGUGUAGCGGUGAAAUGCUUAGAUAUCACGAAGAACCCCGAUUGCGAAGGCAGCUUACUAAACUGUGACUGACAUUGAUGCUCGAAAGUGUGGGUAGCAAACAGGAUUAGAUACCCGAGUAGUC